rnacentral:ncRNA from 1 species
ACGGAGGUGGUCUAAGAUGGCGGCCUGAAGAGAGGGGUGUCGGAGUCAGGAAGCUGGUUAGAGUCCAGCACGGUCCCGCCACUGUAACCGGGGAGCGAACCUCCAGAGAUGCAGGGCCACUGCGACGGACCGUCGCGGGAAGGCCGGAGGGCAGCGAAGAGCCGGGAGUCAGGAUACUGUCCGACCGCCCCACGGACCC